GUGAGCUGUCCUUAGUACGAGAGGACCGGGAUGGACGCACCUCUGGUGUUCCGGUUGUCACGCCAGUGGCACUGCCGGGUAGCUAUGUGCGGACGGGAUAACCGCUGAAAGCAUCUAAGCGGGAAGCCCCCCUCAAGAUUAGAUCUCCCUGGGAGCUCGACUCCCCUGAAGGGCCCAAGAAGACUACUUGGUUGAUAGGCUGGGUGUGUAAGGCCAGUAAUGGCUUCAGCUAACCAGUACUAAUUGCCCGUGAGGCUUGACCAU
rnacentral:rRNA from 1 species